rnacentral:rRNA from 1 species
CGGACGUGAGCAAUCUGCCUUUAAGGGGGAGGUAACAGUCGGAAACGGCGUGCUAAUACCGCAUAAAGACAUCAAAUUACGUCAUGUUUUUGUUAUGCCAAAGGAGCAAUCCGCUUUUAGAUGAGCUCGCGUCUGAUUAGCUGGUUGGCGGGGUAACGGCCCACCAAGGCGACGAUCAGUAGCCGGACUGAGAGGUUGAACGGCCACAUUGGGACUGAGACACGGCCCAG